rnacentral:misc_RNA from 1 species
GAAAUGCGAUAAGUAAUGUGAAUUGCAGAAUUCAGUGAAUCAUCGAAUCUUUGAACGCACAUUGCGCCCGCCAGUAUUCUGGCGGGCAUGCCUGUUCGAGCGUCAUUUCAACCAUCAAGCCCCCGGCUUGUGUUGGGGACCUGCGGCUGCCCGCAGGCCCUGAAAAACAGUGGCGGGCUCGCUGUCACACCGAGCGUAGUAGCAUACAUUCUCGCUCAGGGCGUGCUGCGGGUUCCGGCCGUUAAACGACCUUCAUAACCCAAGGUUGACCUCGGAUCAGUUAGGAAGACCCGCUGAACUUAAGC